UAAGAAAAAGGAUUAUAACUGGAGAGUUUGAUCCUGGCUCAGAAUGAACGCUGUCUGCAUGGAUUAGGCAUGCAAGUCGAACGAAAGCUUUUUUAACAAUCCUUCGGGUGCGUUAUUUAAGUGAAAGUGGCGAAAGGG
rnacentral:rRNA from 1 species